GCCACCAUAAGAGAAGGGAGUGGGAGAGAGUGGGAUGUCGGAGAAAGGAAGGAGGUGGCAGGGCACGAUUACACUCCCAUGAUGGAGAGUAAAACUAGCUCUGUUAAAAACGUAAAACCUGAGAGCUGCAUCAAUCCUUCAAAAGGCUUUCACAGUCAGAGCUUCUCCUUUUUGCUAUGGAGAGAUUUGAGACUUCACCACCAUGGACUCGGGGCUUAUUUGGUCCACGCUUGGGUAAGAACGCUAUAGUUCUUAAUUCAUGGUUUUCGUUUUCUCAAAUAUUUAAAUGUCUUAGUAAUCAGUUUUGUUUAUGUGAUUCGUAUUUUCGAGAGCUAGAGUUUGGGGGUACAAAUCGGAUCCAAAAAUUAAUUUGGCUUAGAAUUUUGACUUAAAUUAGAUAUAUUAAACACUUAAGAUUUAAGUUGAUCAUGUUUCCAUUAAUUCUUCUUGAGUAA